rnacentral:sRNA from 1 species
CAACUUUCCCUGAGUUCUAUAAUUAUUUUAUUUUGGUGGGGCGAAAAAUACUCGUAUCAAAUUCCGUAAAUAAAACUGGGGAAGGAGAAGGACAACCUUCAGUAACAAAUAAAAAUAUUUGACGUUAAUAGGACUUAAGAGCCCCCUAACCAGAGAUGACUAUUCGUACUACUGCGUACAUUAGGGAUAAAAAGGACACUUGCAAUAACAACAACAUCAGCAAACAUUCACUAUUGUGAAUAACAGUGCAAUGGACCACAUUCAAGGCAAUACACAAGCAGGGUUUUAGUUAGCCUUUCAAAGCCAAGAAGGAUGACUAUAAAUCUUAAUUACAACAACAACAAAAACAACA